GUCAGUGUCAUUUUUGUGAUUUGCAGCUAGUAGUCUGGGUCCAGUUGCAUAGUCACAAAAAUGAUCAUUGGC
rnacentral:pre_miRNA from 1 species